GGUAGUUUCUGCCUGAGUCGCUGAUAUUUGAAACCAGAAUGGGAACCGACCUGACUUUCUCCUCUCGUCGGUCCCCUGUUGUGUGUUUACACGGCUGUGUGGCCUCCAGCCAACCUUUAGCUUCCAGUAUAGGACUGGAUGUCCUGAAGCGUGGUGGCAAUGCGGCAGAUGCUGCAGUUGCCAUAGCAGCAGCCCUGCAGUAACAGAGCCGUGCAGCACCAGCCCCGGUGGAGACGCCUUCUGCUUGUUCUACAAUGGAAAGACCGGAGAGAUCAGAGGAAUUAACAGCAGGUGGAGAAUCCUUUGGUCCUUUCCUUGUUUUUCCCUACGUGUGCAACAAUAAACCGAACCUAUCUCUGUGUGCUCAGUGGUCAUUUUCCACGAGCACUGACCCUGGACUUCCUGGAAGGACAAGGUUACACUGCAGAGAACCCUCCUUCAGUGUUUGAUGCUCUGAAUGUCACAGUCCCUGGGGCCCUAGCAUGUUGGUGUGAUACUGUGCAGCUGCUAGGAAGUCACAAGGUUUACUUAUGUUUGUCUUCUAUAUCUGUGACAUGGGAGUGUUUUAUAGAACACUCUGGCAGCCCGUCUCAGAUAAAUCAUUUGACUGAUGUAAAUACCUAUAAACCCUGCAGAAGUGACCAGCAUGCACAAACAUGCCUGGAAAUAGGACUGUUGACUUUGAACCAAAGAGACAUAAAUUAAAAAUAGAAAAGCUUAUCAUUGCCUCUGUAGAGAUUUUCUUUAUUUAACUUGUCCAUCUAAGGUUAAAAUUGGUGCAGGUCCUUGAAAGUGGGGACAAAGUCUAUGUAAAAAAACAAACAAAAAAAGCUUUGAAUCAAGAGGCUCCCAUUAUAUUGGAAGCAACAGAGAUCAAUAUGACUUGUUCAUUACUUCUCACCUUAUACGUAUGUUAAAUGACGUGCAGUGUAAAUAUCACAGUAUAAUGGCGAUGAAGGAAAAUCAAGCGCAUUGCUAAAUGACUAACAUUCAAAUUAGUGGAAUUCCCUCAGAAAAAUGUAAAUUAGUUUGUCCUUUGCUUAUUUUGUCACAGAGCAGUAUCUCACUCUUCCUGUUCAGUUCAGUUUCCUGUUAUAUGCAUGUGUUUCCUCUGCCUACUUUGCUAGCUGUCCUUACAGGAGGUCCUGAGUGGGGCUGUGGAGCUAGCAGAGGUGGGGUUUCCUGUGGCUGAGUUAACAGCUCACCACUGGGCGAACUGGAAGUCUGCUUUGAGGGAUGCUGGAAAGGGUGGAGAAUUGAUGAUUGACGGUCAUGCGCCCAAAUGUGGACAAGUAUUCUAAAACGCUGGCCUGGCUUGAACUUUGAAGACACACGCAGACACACGCACACACCUACACUCAUGACCAUGAGGCAGUGGAAAGAACAGCGAUGACCUCAGCCUCAUUGGACGAUUAUAUUCUUCGAUUGUUCUUCGACAGUUGUGCAUGACUUCACUGUGGGGCAAAGUCACAAGCACACACACACACACACACACACACACACACACACACAUUGACUGGAGUGAACUUUUAAAUGGUGGACAAAUGUGCCUCGAUAUCAUGUUAACCACCAUUUGUAAAAAGUUUUGUCGCGUGACUGACUGAGAAGUACAUGAGCUCAUGUAUCCACAGGAGCUCGGUGAGCGGGGCAAGCCAGCUUUCUACCAGGGCAGAGUGGCCCAGGCCAUUGUUGACGUCAUCAACCAAAAUGGGGGAGUCAUGACCUUGGAUGACCUGAGCAGCCAUGACAGCGAGGUCGUCACCCCCAUAAGCACAGAGUACAAGGGUGUAUGUCUGUGGGAGCUUCCUCCUAACAGUCAGGGACUGGCUGCCCUGCUCACGCUCGACAUCAUGGAGAACUUUCCUCAACUCAAAGCUAAAGGCCAUAACAGCUCUGACUAUAUCCAUGUACUGGUUGAGGCUGUGCGAUUGGCUCUAACAGAUGCUCUGCGUUACCUGGGUGACUCAAGUCAUGUGACUAUCCCUUUGGAAACCUUACUGGACAAGGGCUACAGUCACCAGCGAGCACAGCUCAUCAGCACGGACAGGGCCAUGGAGCGAGUGGAGCCCGGCCUGAUGACAGGAAGUGACACGGUGUAUUUCUGCGUGAUAGACAGUGAGAGGAAUGCAUGCUCCUUUGUCAACAGCAACCAUAUGGGCUUUGGGACGGGGCUGGUCCCUAAAGACUGUGGAUUCUCACUACAGCUGGUCAGUGGUUGGUUAACCUGGAGGAGGGGAUCGACCAGAAGGUAGCUGAGGAACUGAAAAGACGAGGACACCGUGUCAACUGGCCAGUGUCAGAAUCAACUUUUUGGGAUCAUUUUCUUGCUCAUUAAUGAAAACGAUUGAAGAAAAACCGGACAAACACCUUUGUACGUAGUGCAAGAUGUCAGCAAAACAGUUACUUUCGAAGGCCUUUGCUCUCAGUCGUAAUUCAAGGCCACAAGAGGUCUCAGUUUGGGCGGGGGCAGAUCAUCGCAGUGGGGGAUUGGUGGAAUCCGUCUGUCACCCAAGGGGAUCGUCCUUCCAGGGUGCUUUGGGCGGGAUCGGAUCCCAGAGCAGACGGAUGUGCUCAGGGGUACUAGAAAAUGUUCUUGCCUUGUUAAUGUUGUAAUCAAAAGAUUUCAUCAUAGAACUACUUGAAAAGAAAUGCCUACAAAUGAUGUGCAGUACACAGGUUGUUAUUUGUCAGCUGAUAUUUGGCAGUGAGCUUUAUAACUCAUUCAAAAACCACUGUACCUUCAUGAAGUGCCUUAUGGAAUCAUGUUUUUAUGCCUGUGUUCAUUAGAUGUUGAGUUAAAGCACAUUUGCUGGAUGUAGAGUUUAGUAUAAAUCAGCACAACCUCAGAUUAUUUAUAAUGUGAAAAGUGACAAACAGGAAGAUCUUUAUCUUUGCUGCAUCCAUGCCAAAGAUGUCCUUCCUCAACUCUGUGUUUUGGCAGAGAUAAUUAUGUGUUUCAGUCUCUUUAAUUAGCUGGUGCUGAUUUGAAGUUUGCUAGAAAUGCAGUGUUGUUCCAUAUAUAAACCUCCGUCCUCAAUAACUAAUCAUUCCAUUUUUACUCUGCUCUGAAUUAUGUACAUCAGUAUUAUAGUGUCAUCAUUAAAAAUUCUAUUUUGCAUAA